rnacentral:tRNA from 1 species
UGUGGUAUAGCUCAGUGGUAGAGUGCAUGCCUAGCAUGCACAAGGUCCAGGGUUCAAUCCCCAGUACCUCCA